CAGAUGAGCGGCCGGCUCCCGGCCCUCGGUCAUCGUCGCACCCGGUGACACCUCGUGCCCGCGGCCGCCUCCGUGUGGCGCUGACAUAUCUAAACUCCAGCCAGAACAACUUGUUUCACUUCUAAAGAGAAGAAAGGCGAUGCCUACCAUAGGGCUCGUUUUGACAGCACACAAUGCUACAGAAAAAAAGAUAAAUCACCAAGAGGGAAACCAAAUCCAGCAGUAUUCAGGUUACUAUUCAAAUGAGAUUGGUCUGCCAGAACGAAAGCUUCCUCCUGUGCUUGUAUAGUUCUUCACCUCUCUCCAAACCUACAGCAAAUUGAAGGCUUUUGCUGUGCACACGGCAGGCAAUGGGACCCUUCUGUAAUUUCCUUAUUUUCUGCAAAAUCCAUCAUUUCUUUCCAUGCAAGACAUUUAACCUCUUCUGCGGGCCAUCUUCACUACUGGAACAACUUCUUUUUCUCUGUGCAAGUAAAACUCUUUCUUUCAAUGGUGA